GACAGAGGGGGCAAGCGUUGCUCGGAAUCACUGGGCGUAAAGGGCGCGUAGGCGGGAUGGCAAGUCGGUCGUGAAAUCUCUCGGCUCAACCGAGAAACGUCGGCCGAUACUGCCGUUCUUGAGGGAUGCAGAGGAGACUGGAAUUCCCGGUGUAGCGGUGAAAUGUGUAGAGAUCGGGAGGAACACCGGUGGCGAAGGCGGGUCUCUGGGCAUUUCCUGACGCUGAGGCGGCGAAAGCGUGGGGAGCAAACGGG
rnacentral:rRNA from 1 species